CCUACGGGAGGCAGCAGUGGGGAAUUUUGGACAAUGGGGGAAACCCUGAUCCAGCCAUUCCGCGUGAGUGAAGAAGGCCUUCGGGUUGUAAAGCUCUUUCGGCAGGAACGAAACGGCGGACUCUAACAUAGUCUGUCAAUGACGGUACCUGAAGAAGAAGCACCGGCUAACUACGUGCCAGCAGCCGCGGUAAUACGUAGGGUGCGAGCGUUAAUCGGAAUUACUGGGCGUAAAGCGUGCGCAGGCGGCUUUGUAAGACGGAUGUGAAAUCCCUGGGCUUAACCGAGGAACUGCGUUCGGGACUGCAAAGCUAGAGUGCGGCAGAGGGGGGUGGAAUUCCUGGUGUAGCGGUGAAACGCGUAGAUAUCAGGAGGAAGGCCGUUGGCGAAGGCGGCCCUCUGGGUAAUGACUGACGCUGAGGCGCGAAAGCGUGGGGAGCAAACAGGAUUAGAUCCCCUUGUAGU
rnacentral:rRNA from 1 species